GCGGACGUGGUGGAAGGUGCACCGCUGCCUUCUGUGUGCGAUGAGUGAGAAGAUUUCAUUUGAAAGCAGCCAGACGGGGUUCGACUCCCCGCGUCCGCC